AGAAUCAACGCUGGUGGCGUGCCUAACACAUGCAAGUCGAACGCGGUUACUUCUGCUUCGCAAGAAGUAGGGGUGACUGAGUGGCGAACGGGUGAGUAACACGUGGGUGACCUGCCUUCGAGUGGGGGGAUAACGUUCCGAAAGGGACGCUAAUACCGCAUGAGAUCCUGCCUUUGGAGAGGCGGAGAUUAAAGCUGGGGAUCGUAAGACCUGGCGCUUGAAGAGGGCCCGCGUCCGAUUAGCUAGUUGGUGGGUAACGCCUACCAAGGCUGCGAUCGGUA
rnacentral:rRNA from 1 species